rnacentral:lncRNA from 1 species
GGUGGACCAGGUCCACUUUUGAGUUGUCAUUCUUCGCAGCACGCCGUGCAUCAUCGAUGCCGAAUAUCGUCGCAGCUGUAAUGCUUGACUGCUCAGCAGAAGUAACCGGCUUGGAGCCAGCGCUCUUGAUGAGCUGGUAGCGCAGGUUCCUCUGGCUCACGUCCUCAACUCUGGCCCUCAGCUCCUUCAUCUGCUUGGCGAUGCGGCGCCGCUCUUGCAACGUGCGAGGAAGGCGCCACCAAGAUGGCUUGUGGAGAUGAACAGAGAAAUCCUGGAGGCAGUCCUCCGCAUCGUAGGCCACGUCUCGGACUUGUUUCACCCAGGUCAUGAGCACGUCAUGGUUGUCCCGCUCGUCGUGCGCAGCCCUCAUAAAGGCUUGCAUCAUCGCGAGCUCGUCCCUGAUGAAAGCAUGAUCGCGCUGGAUCCCGAGCUGCAAGGCCACCUCCUCCGCGACAGCGGAUUUGGCGUAGCCAAGCGCUCCAUCCAGCACGGACUUGCCCACGCUCAGCGCCGUCGCCUCCAUGGCUCUCUUCUCGGGUGUGCUGUGUGGUGUGGAUGGGUGUGGAAAUGCUUGGUGCCAGUCCACAAGCCAACCAUUUGGUUAAAAAGGUGAACUCAACAACUAGAGGACCGAGCAAGUUGAAAUUUUUCAUGAAGACUUGUACUUAGUGUAGCAGUUCCUCAAGUCGUACCAAAUUAAUUUAGUGGUAGGCUAUGUUAAUUAAGUGGUAGGCUAGUAUUGAGAUGCACGCAAGAGAGCUGUUGGUCCAAGCUUGCAGCGCGUUGACUCUGUUGCACAUGUUGGCACGAGCAAACUACACACCUAAGCACGCAGCUUGCUAUUUUCUUUAAGAAAAGCUGCACAUGUUGGCAACCAUUAUGAUCGUUAUGAAUCGAUUGAAGCGCAGAUGCCAUCUCAUUGUCAACGGGACCGGAGCUAGAGAAGAAUAAAGGGGCGUGCGACACCUUCAAGGCAUACAUAGACAUUUAAUUUAACAUGAUGAAAAUUUCGAGCGAUAGCAAACUAUGAGUUUUUUCUACGUGCGGCAGCACCCGGCACUUAUAACCUAGCUCUGCCCCUGGUUGUCAAGGAUAAGAACAUUUGGAAUCAACUGAAACAUCAUAAGAAGCUAGCCCAAAAAGCAAAAGCAACGCACAAACCUACAGACAAGCUGCUCUGUGGUAGGGGAGAAAACUUCAGCAAAACACUAAAGCUUCUAUGCAGAGUAAAAAAUUAGAUCCUUCCUUCUUCUCGAGUCAAUUCCAUGGAUGGACACAUGUGAGAAUGCAUCCACAACUUGUAGCGAAGCAUGUGACCUUGUAUGUGAGAGCAAGCCCCACGUGCCUGCACUAGCAAAGAUUCCAGGCAGCUUAGAUUGGCAACGACUGAACAGAACUCCUGGCCGGUUUUCUUGCUGAUGCCGGUCACAGCUAACUUGCCUUGUCCCAUGCAGAGAUUCACAGGACCCAAUGUGUGCAGGGCUUUUAGUUUCCCGAUCCCUCUUGGCAUCCAAGUUGGACUUUCCAUUGUCAUCAUCAGAAGAGGGAAGAACCAGCAGCAACAUAUAGUGCACCUAUUAAUGUGACCACCGGCCCGUUACGUGAAACUCUUUUAAGAAGAUGAGGUGCACAACAUGCAACACAAAAUCCGAGCAACCAACCCGUACAAAUGCAUGGCUUGUUAUUCACUAUUUUGGCACUUCUUCUAACGGACUAUUAAAUGAUUUAUCAUCCUUUCCAAGAUAUUGUAGAUUCUUGAGUUUGGUGAUAGUCUUGGGCAGCUUUAAUAUCUCUGUCUCUGAAAUAUCUAGUGUUUCUAGUUGCUUUAGAUUACCGGCCCACCAACGAAUCUGACAAGUGAAAAAUACCAGUACAUCCUCUUAGAGAGAGGUCUCUGAGGUGAAGAAGCUUCCCAAUAUGCUCUAGGUGAUGAUUAAACAGACCUGAUGUGCCUUCCAAGUCCAGCACACGCAAGAACCUCAUCUUGUCAGAAAUGAAAAAGGACCUCCAGAGAACUCCUCUGCCAACUCUUUUCCUGUCUUCUUGGUCUCCAACAGAACAUCAACCCCCACGGCUGAUCGGAAGUACUGCUUCACUAAGCUUUGGAUGAAGUCAUUCGGAUUGAAGGGAUGCGAGAUCCUUACCCAUGCCCGGCACGAAAACUUCUUUUUGACAUCUGGAUUCUCGUAGGCCGUGUUGAUGAUGGAUGUCUGCCCAAGAUCACCGCUGGUUCCCCACACUGCGAUCACUCUAAGAUCCUCGCCCGGUGAUUCAGCACUUCUGGCAGGAUCAUCGAGGAGAGGCGGCGUCGAUUAAGCCCGGAGAUGGUGGAGAUGCUCUCUUGCGUCAAGGACUGCGAAGCUGCAGAAGCAAGACUUCAGAAUAUCUUGGAGGAUCAAGAACUUGAGGAAAAUUUUGCUAAUUUGUAUCUAAAUGUCCCUGCUGAUUCAUAGGUGUAAAACUUGGCCUGUAAUAACUUGAACUCCUAUAAUAUUGAUUUGAUUGAGCUAGGCUGUACUCUUUUUUCCUAUCUAGGGUUUCUCACGAGGUGUGAGUUUUACCUAGAUAGGUUUUUAAUGAGGCAACCAUUGCACUAGCUCAAACUUAUAAUCUCUUGUUUCUCUCUAUGAUGUGGUGGAAGGAAUAACUGUUAGAAGUGGAAGGAAUAAACAAGAUUUUCAACCAGCAUGUCUAGAGAUUAUAAGUUUCUCUCUGUGCCGUGGUGGCCUUCGAAAGGGAAUCGAUAUGGAAAACCAAAACACAGUGGUGAAAUGUAUCAUGUAAAUAAAACUCUUUAUUGCAUUAAAAAAACAAUGGGCUAAAACUGAACCGGGCCGGAACAACAACGAGGCAAGCUGAACCGUGCGUGGUUCUGUAUUUUCACAUGCAUGUUGUUCCACGUUGGCUCUGCCGCAAUGUGGUCAUUCUCUCUGGUUUUAUGGGAAUAAGCAAUGCCUAUGCAGGGGUUGCUGGCCUGUGCCUGAUCGCCGUAGAGCCGCUGCCAAUGGUGCCAGUGGACAAGCUAAAAUACUACUCCAGCAAAGCACGAAAAAUUGUGUGGCCUGCAAUGGAGUACCGUGCAUUUCCUCUAUUGAUAAUGGCAGGGACGCAAGGGAGCUGCAACAUCACUUGCAAAGAAAAAUGAUGGCAAACCAACUCAAGCAUACACAAUCAGCAACCCUGCAGAUCAUUGUGGUGAACGUUCAUACAAAUGACCUGUACAGUUAUUCAUAUAUAGUCCACACCAGUCUUUGUAGCCCAAUUACUGAACUGAUGAACAUUAUUUCACUUCUAUCAGGCGAUGCAGGAUGGAGCAGCACGCCAGUUAUUCUUAUUUGGCACAACCAUAAGCACAGACGAACAAAACAAAAAACAGAGGAUUCAGAGACGCCGCACUAGGCCCACAGGAUACUGACACGAUCGACCUUAGCUACAUGCGUUAAAAAGAAAUACAUCAGCAGUAGGACUGGAGAUUAAUUUUACACACACAUCAAUUGUUCAGAUGCACAAAGAGGGUAACAGGGAAGCAGCAAGAGCAAUGACCUGGCACGACGAUCGGCUGACUCUGCAGCACCUCACCACCUCUUCAAAGCGGGUCCAUUUGGAUUGGCACCAAGCUGGCCCUGCAGGUCUUCCAUGAAAGCGUGCUCAUAAGUUUUGCUGUCCAGCAUAAAUUCCUUGAGGCUCCGGAGCAAUGGUAGCCCGGAAAACAUCCCUGUGUUGGUUUCUUCAAGCUUGCCACGAAAAUCCAGCCGCUCAAGCCGAAGCAUUGCCCCUUCUUCAAACUCCACGGAUUUCAGGCCAUCUAUGUCAUUUAGCUCCAGCACUAUCAGACUCGGGAAUGCCUCCGGAUGGAAGGUGAAACGGAGGUCGUCAACCUGGAACGACUUCGCCCACAAACAUAAGCUGACCAGGUUUGGAAGCUUCCCAAGAACUUGGAGUGCAGGUUCGUGUUCCAGUAUUCUAGAGCUCCUUAGAACCAACUUCACAAGAUUCUUGAGCCCCUCGACCCAUCCUGGCAAUUUGAGCAGAUUGCCGUAUAUCUUGAGGCUUUGCAGGUUUUUUGGAGCGGAGGUCAAGCCAUCUAAACAGCCAUGCACACCUGGCAUCCCACGUGAUGCCACUAGCAACGAUUCCAGGUAGCUGAGAUUGGCAACGACUGAACACAAUUCCUGGCUGUUUUCUUUGUUAAUGCCAGUCACAGCUAACUUGCGCAACUGGGUCAGUCCUUUUAUGUCUCGUAGAAUUGCUUUGUCCCAUGCGAGAUUCACAAGACCCAAUGUGCGCAGGGAUUUUAGUUUCCCUAUCCCUCUUGGCAUCCAAGUUGGACCUUCUCUUGCCAUCAGAAGAGGGAAGAACCAGCAGCAACACUGAGUGCAUACAUCACACCUAUUCAUGUCACUAUCCACAACCAUAACCUCUUUAAGAAGUUGAGGUGCGCAACAUGCCACGCAAAAUCCUAGCAACCAACCCAUACAAAUGCAUGGCCUGUUAUUCGCUACUUUUGGCAGUUCUUCAAACGCAUGUAAUGAAUCAUCAUCCUUUCCAACAGUCCCAGCACGAAGAUAUUGUAGCUUCUUGAGCUUGGUGAUGAUCUUGGGCACCUUUAAAAUCGUUGUCGCUGAAAUAUCUAGUGUUUCUAGUUGCUUUAGAUUACCCAACGAAUCUGAUAGGUGAAAAAUAUAAUCACAUCCCCUUAGAGAAAGGUAUCUGAGGUGAAGAAGCUUCCCAAUAUGUUCUAGGUGAUGACUAGCCAGACCUGACGUGCCUUCCAAGUCCAGCACACGCAAGAACCUCAUCUUGUCAGAAAUGAAAAAGGAUCUCCACUUCCCAAACACUGUUAACGAGCGUAUGCGGGACAGAUCCACUUUGUUCUCAAACUCACUCUUAUCUGCUUCCCAGUUCGUGCUUAUGACAAGGUGGCGAACUGUGCCUUGGGUGUUUGAGCUGCAACCUUCCUCCAUUCUAAAAACGAGAUUUUCUUCUGUUGACUUUGAGAUGCUAAUCUCACGCAUGAGAUCAUGGACUUGGCAAGAGUCAAUUCCUUUUCUACUAUUAACUGAUAGCCGAGAAGGUAGGAUCAUGCUCCUCUCUAUUAGUUCCAUGAAGUAGUUGUCAGCUACUUCUUCUGGGGACUUAUCUCGAAUCUCCCUUGAGUAACCUUCUGCACUCCACCGUCGUAUCAAACGUCUUCGUCUAAUCUUGUGAUCUUCAGGGAAGAUGGAUGUAUAUAGGAAACAAGACUUAAGAUGAUAUGGUAGACCAUCAUAACUUUUACCAAGAAUUGUUUUUAUGGCCCCAAGCUCCGGGUUCAUUUCCAAUUCAGCACUAAUAUGCUCGUUCAAUUUCCUCCACUCUACCGCUACUUUUGGUUGCUUUGCCAAGAAGCCUCCGAUGGUGACUAUUGCAAGGGGAAGUCCAUUGCACUUCUUCAAGAUCAUUUUUGCUUCUUUGAUCAAUUCAGGAUGCUUAUCCAAAUCUUUGGCCUCCUUAAACACCUGAAAUCAUUGGAGUUAAGUUACUUGAAAUUGAAAUAUGUAUGAAUGGUCUAUGUAGUUUCUUAGGAAAAAGUUUAAAUUACUCCGCUCAAAUAUAGCAAAAGUAUGGAUUACCCCUUAAACUAUUUGUGGUUUAAUUCACCCCCUAAACUAUUCUUUUUUGUUCAAUUUACCCCAUACUAAAUUUGUCUUUAUUUUCCUCCAUACAUAAGUUGAAUUUUAAUUUAAGAUUUUGCAAGGUGGUAGUACACAUCAGAAUCUAUGUUAAAAAAAUGUAUUAUGAAUUUUUUAUCAUUAUUUUCAUAUAUUUUUGUAUCUCAAGGAUAGAUUUACUAUUACAUGUCCUAUCUUAUCAAAAUAAUGCUAAAUAAUUCAUGAUGUAUUUUUCUAACAUGUCUUAUGAUGUAUGCUAUCAUCUUGCAAAAUUUUAACUUAAGAAUCCAUUUGUGCAUGGAGAAAUAAAAAAAAGACAAAUCGUAUUAGGGGGUAAAUUGAACCAAAUGGUAUAGUUUAGGGGGUAAACUGAACCAACAAAUACAUUAUGGGGUUAUGCAGACUUUAGUGAUACUUGAGAGGAGUAAUUUGGAUUUUUUCCUUGCUAGAAUGGCUAGGGUACAAUUACAAUCUUAUGGCUAUGCAAGCAUAGAAUUAUGGUUAUGUUGUCGUUAUAUUGUAAUGAAAGCUCCACACGAAUGGCAGAAUUAUACUGUAAUAGUACCUUUCUUGUGAAGAGGUCUUGUGCAUCCUUGUAUUCAAGAACUUUGAGCUUGUAUAUGUUUUCUAGUUUCUCUGAACAAUAUUUUGCUAUACUCUCUUCCCUUGUGGUCACUAAGAUCCGGAAUGAACUAUCCAAUUUAGGGAGGCUUCCAAGUAUAUUGUCCCAUUCCGCUAUGGAUGAAAGAUCAUCAAGAACAAUCAAGCACUUCUUCCCUUCAAGAAGCCUAGCUAACUCUUUAGUUAAUGCUUCAACUCUCAUCAUUGCUACUGUGUUUCUUGUGCCAUGCCCAACAUCUAUUGCUCCCUUCUUUCCAGAAGAUUGUGCAUUUAGUUGCAUAAUUAAGUUCUCAAGGAACUCCUUAAGAAUGAAAGGGCGCAUCACCGUAACACAAGCAUGCUUCUCAAAUAUGCCAACUUGCUUUUGGCUUUCAUAAACAUCUUUGACUAGAGCAGUUUUACCAAGACCACCCAUUCCCCACACUGAGAUCACUGAAAGCCCUUGACUAGAUGGAUUUGAAAUGAGCUGGAUGAUAUCAGCCUUUUCUUUCUGUCGACCGAUAAGUUGUGAUUCCUCCAAAGCACUUACCAUAGUUUUGAUGUGGGUAAGGCUCUUUGUGAAUACCUUUCUCUCAUCGCCACCUUGAGAUUGAUUUCCCACUAUCACAUUGGUGCCGCUUCUAGCUUUGUCUGUGCUAGACACUGCAACUGGAGAUUUUAUUUGAUCUUGACAAUCCUAUAUAAAAGUAAACUAGACUUUUAAACUUGUUGAUGUUUAAAUAGUAUUUUCACUCGAAUAAGGAAAGUCUCUAGAAUAAAUUCAUAUAAUUUAUAAUGGGAAGACAACCAUUGCUUGAGUAAUUUAAAAGAAACAAAACUCAAUUAAUUAUGCAAGAAUGGAAUUAUAACAUAUAUGAGGCUAGCAGCCUGCCCAAAAUGAAUGAGGCCUUUAGAUACUGCAAGAUUAUUAUAGGACAAUAUUUUAGCUUUUAUUUAACAUAUUAUUACUAAUUAUAAGUGCUCUAGAAAAAGAGAUGAAUCUUAGAAAGUCUCACGAAACUCAAAACAUCUGAACAUCAAUUUCAUAGACUCAACCUUUGUUGACAACAAUGGCCAUAUAGGAUAUAAUUUGCACACAAAAUGACCUACCUCUACCAUUACAAAAAUAAGAAUAAAGUAAUUCUCCCUUCAUCCCAAAUUAUAGGCCGUUUUAGCUUUUCUAGGUUCAUAGGUGUUUGUAUGCAUCUAAAUAUAGUGUGUGUCUAGAUACAUACAAACACUUAUGAACCUAGAAAAGCCAAAACGACCUAUAAUUUGAAACGGAGAGAGUAUUCUAAAUCAGUAUCUAAAUUACACACCUCUAUCAUUAUAAACAAGAAUUCAAAUGCCUCCAAAUUCUCUCUGUAAAUGAGCCACCUCUACCACUAAGAAAAUAAACCCAAAGUAACCCUAAAUUUGUAUCUAAAUUGCCAACUUAUGUUGUGAAUAAGAAUUUAAACAACACAUUAAAUCUACGUCAAGGUUAUCCACACUUUAUUAUUAAGAACAAUCUAAAGCUAUUCUUUAAAUCUGUAUCAAAAUUGCUCAACUCUAUCAUUAUAAAUAAAACAACCCAAAGUAUGUCCUAUUAAUACUUCUAAAUUGAUCAUUUAUGUCACUAUUAAUAUAUGAAAAAACUAACUCAAAGUAUAUGCAUUCAUAAUGCGUGCCACGUACGGACCACAUAAGCAUGCAUGCACUAAUCAAUAGGCAUAUUGAUUUACAACGAUUUACGCAAUAAUUAAAGAUGUUUAUGUCAUGUGCUUGGGCGCAUGGGUUUAACAACUGGCCCAAUAGGAUCCGACAGGACCUGUCGUGGUAUUUUUCACAUCAUGAACAAUAUCCAUGGGUACUGUAGCACCCCAUCGUUGAUAUUUCAUCUAGGUUAGGGUUUAGGAAGAGUCUGAAAAUUAGGAUCCACUGCCAUUGACCCUAAUACCAGAAGCAAUGGGUCCACCUCCAACGGCUACAGUGUCAUAGUCCACUCUGUCAUCUACAUCCACCACUGCACCAAUGGGCCGUGACCGCCUCUACUACAACCUACAUCUACGUCAGCAAUCUCUUCUACCUUGGAUGCCUCCAAAGACAACAAGUCUACAACAAGUCAAUCCUCAUCGACUUCAUCCUUCAUCGACAACUCCGCAUCAUGACAGUUACUAGCGAUGGUGAGCGUAAGUCCUAUCACAGGAAUCGUUAGGACAUCACCGAGCAAGCCCACAGCUUGGAUGAUCAGCCCGCGGACGAUUACUUCCAUUACUACACCGCCAAUCUCCUCUAAGCACCUCAAUCGGCAAGCACUCCACGAGAUAGGAAUCAGGCAUUUCUUUUCACCACUAGUGGUGGGAAUUAGACGACCAAUUCGGGCUCCUCCACCACAAGUGGUUGUGUUGAUUCCCGGUCCUCCUCCCAUGCGCCACAUAAAACUAUUCAUCGGCAACCUCAACAUCAAUGGUGAAUAAAUGCGCCAACGCAACAUUGUACUCCAGGUACAAUAGCUAGGCCGCAUCUUCCUCAACAAUGGUGGGUGUCAACAAACUACCCCAACCACAACAUGCGCCACACACGAAUAUACGAUUGAUGCUACAUGAACAAAGGUGAUAAGUGCUAUUUGUGCUAUGUGCUAUUCGUGCUAUGUGCUAUUCGAGUCAAACAAGAUCAUGGGCGUCCAACCCUUUAUCCUUGUAAUAGAUGGGCACACAUCUCCACCCCUCAUCUCUAUUGCUUUGACAAGCAACGUAAUGACACUGGUAGUAUAUGCAAAUCAACAGGCCAUCAGUAACAGUAGCUGGAACAUAACUGACGGGAGAAGCAGCAACAUGAACGCUUCAUUUACUACAAGCUACCCUCAACAUUAGCCACAAAAUCCAUGGCGUCACCACUCCACCAAGACAAUCCACUACCGUCAACUUCCUACCACUGCUCGUGUGUUGAUGUUCUUUCACAAGGAGGUGACAAAACCAGCAAAUCAACUAACCAGAGCUUCUCACCAUGGGUCACCUCAGGCAGCAACUGUGGCCACCACCUAUCUGGGAGGACCUUCGUUCCUCUACAGAAAUAAAGGGCAACAACUAUGACAUCAAUUCCAACAACAACAUGAGGCGGACGUUGGCUCUGCAAGGAGCAAACAAUGAGCGACAGCACGAGGGCGUGUUGUGUGGAAAAGAGGGGGGACAUGUCAUGUACUUAGGGCACUUGGGUUCAACAACUAGCCCAAUAGGGUUUGACAGGACCAACAACGACCCAAGAGGUUCCCUCGUGGUAUUGUCCACAUCAUCAACAGUACCACACGGGUAGUGUAGCACCGCCUUGUCGAGAUUUUGUCUAGAUUAGGAUUUAGGAAGACUCUGAAAAUUAGGAUUGCUUUAAAUCAAGUCGAGUUAGGUUUGCUUGUAAAUAAAGUUGCGUCCUCGCCAUAAAUGUCAGGGAAAUAUUUGGAUGAUUCAAGCAUAUAAUAUUAGGGUUUAGUCCCCUCUGCCUUUUGGCUUAAACAGCUCUCUCACCCCCAUGCUGCCGCUGCUGGCUCCCACCUCCUCCUAGGUGUGGCUGGCCCUAGGCAAGGACGGAUCUAGGAUGGCUGGAUAGGGGGGCUUAUUUUCUUCUUCCUCCUCAUUCCUUUUCUUCUUCUUCUUCCUCCUUUCCUCCUCUUCAUCCAUGGCUGAAAAUUGUUGGGGGCUUGGGGGGCUCCAUGAACUGCAUGGGGGUAGGGGGCUCCAGCCCCCACACUGGAUCCACCCCUGGCACUAGGGCUACCGCACUCUACCUUUCUGAUCCUAUCUUCCUUCUAAUCUCCUCUCAAACCAGUAAGGAGAUCCGCAAGCUUGACAGUUUCCUUAAUGAUCCAUAGUACAAUGGCAAUGGCAAUCCAUGUUAAGUACUUAAGUUAUAUUACAAUACUUCAUGAAAAGAAUUAAUAAAGUUGCUACUUUAGAUAAAUGUAUUUCAUUUUUAAUGACAACAUUAUAGCAUCUACAUUGAUAGUUUGAUUGCGAGAACUCUAAUUAUUUACUCCCUCAAACUACGUUUAGAAUGUAUUUUUUAACAUAAGUUAUAAUAUCCUAUGUCAUCCCACAAAAUGUUACCUUAAAACUCAAUUGGUACAUGCUCAAUAGAGAUAGAUUGGAUCAAUUGAAAUAGUUUGGGGAGUAAAUUGAGCUGAAUAUUUUCUUCGGGUGGCUUGUUUAGGGUAAUAAAUUAACUUCUUUGUUUAGUAAAAUAUAUAACUACACUCAUAUUUUUUCUAUAGAGAAAAUUUAACAUUUCAGGCAAUGUUCGCUGAAAAGCCUAUUUGUUCAUUCCUGUUCUAUAACCAUUAUACUUCUUAUGCUAGCCUGUACAACAGCAUGGGUUGAUGGAUUCAUUCUUACUAAUAAAAAUUGAUACAUUCUUUCCUAUACCUACAAAUAUGGCAUUUAAUAUUGGAUACCACAACUUGAAUCGUUAAAACCAUCUGAGAUAUUAAUGAAGAAAAAAUAUAUAACAAGAGCUAACAACAAUUUGAUGAUUUUUGAAGGAAGAAUAGUACCUUCUCAUAGAAAGCAUAAAUAGUCUGAUCAAUGGACAACUGCUUGAGCUCCAAUGCUUGGCUUUCCUGCCCUGCACACAAGCUUGCAACUUCAACUUGUGGGCUGCAAACUAUGAUUCGGCUCCCUUUCUUGUGGUUGGGGAGACAUGCUUUAAUCCCAUUCCAUUCUUCAAAGGUGGACAUGUCAUUGAGCACAAUUAGGUAACUAUUCUCGUUUAUAUAUCUGGUGAACUCCUUAGCCAACUCUUUCCCUGUCUUCUCGGUCUCCAACAAAACAUCAAUCCCCAUGGCAGAUCGAAACUGCUUCACUAAGCUUUGGAUGAAGUCAUUCAGAUUGAAUGGAUGAAAGACCCUAACCCAUGCUCGGCAUGGAAACUUCUUUUUGAUAACUGGAUUCUCGUAAGCCGUGUUGACAAUGGUUGUCUGCCCAAGAUCACCACUGGUUCCCCAUACUGCGAUAACUCUAAGAUCCUUGCCCUCCUGGUUGAUGAGGUCAACAAGAUCCUCUUUUGGUUUGUCAUGCUUCGCAGCACGCCGUGCUUCAUCGAUGCCAAAUAUUGCUGCAGCUUUAUUGCUGGAUAGCUCAGCGGUGGUAUCAGGCUUGGAACCACCCCUCUUGAUGAGAUGGUAGCGCAGGUUCCUCUGGCUCACAUCCUCAACUCUGGCCCUCAACUCCUUCAUCUGCUUGGCGAUGCGGUGUCGCUCUAGCAACGUGCUAGGAAGGCGCCACCAAGAUGGCUUCUUGAGAUGGAUGGAAAAAUCUUGAAGGCAGUCCUCCGCAUC